rnacentral:rRNA from 1 species
GAAAAGAACUUUGAUAAAGAGAGUUAAAAAGUGCGUGAAACCGUUAGUGGGGAAACGGAUGCAGUUAGCAAUGCUUCGGCGAGAUUCAGGCGGUCACCUGGCUGGACGGGCAGUGUGUGGAUCCGAAUGGACUGUCGCUGCUUGGCUUGGUCUUGUGCUCGUCGCACUUCUCGUCGGAGCGCGUCAACAGCUGCUUGACUUGAGCGAUACGGUGCUCGGGAAGGUAGGCGUGUGUCUUCGGACUUGCGUUGUUAUAGCCCGUGGCAUUCCCAGUUCGAGUUUGGCAGAGGCGAACGGUGCAUGCUCUCUAGGGGGCUGGCGUCCUUCUCUUGAUCGAUUGUCGAGCAUGGCGGACUGCUUGCAGUGCGUCUGAACUGCUGUUGGUCAUUCGGGAGGAUCGCGCACACUAUGCACCUAGGUUGUUGGCGGCCAUAUGGCUUCAUCUGACCCGUCUUGAAACACGGACCAAGGAGUCUAACAUGUGCGCAAGUCUUGGGGUGACCGAAACCCAAAGGCGCAAUGAAAGUAAAGGCUGCCUGGCAGCCGAGGUGAGAUCUUCGUUCCGCGUGUCCGAAGCGCAUCAUCGACCGACCUAUUCUACUCCUAGAAAGGUUAWRAGCUAAGAGCGCAUCUGUUGG